rnacentral:lncRNA from 1 species
AUUUAUCAUGGUAUCAUGCAAAACACGAGAUGUUAGCUAGUUACAUACUCCCUCCAAUCUUACAUUUCACUUAAGACAAUGUAAAUUAAAAGAACAAAUUUAGUACUUAUAAUCAUUUGAUCUGAAAUCUUUUGCUACUUCUUGUUGUCGCAAUAUUAAUAUUUGUCCAUCUUUAUUAUAAGAAGCAUAAAAAGGGAAAAAAUUCAUAAAUAGCUAAGAUGCGAAAUAUAGUAGACCUCCUUAGCUAGAGUUUAGUUUUAAUGGCUAAACUGAUUCACGUUUGUAUAAUUUGGAUUUUUUAAUUGAUUAUACAAAUUGUUUACUAAGUUCCUUUAAGUGAUGGGGCAAUUUCGCUUAAAAAAGGAAAACGGUCCCUAAUUCAUGGUACUUAUAUCUAAUUAAAAUUUCUUACCUAAUAUGACUUCUUCUUCUUUUUGACGGAAAAAAACACAACUCAUUGUAUAUAACAAUUGUAUGUGUAAAUAAUUGAAUCAAGUUUACAAAAAAAAUUAUAUUUGAAGUAUACUCGUUUGUAUAAAUAAUAUGAUGUAUAGUAGCAGUUUGUUUAUGUUUAUGAAUAAAUUGUAUAUUAUAGGUUUUGUAUAAAUUGAGUCAUAUAAAUUAAACAAGUUGUACGUAUAUCAUACUUGUAUUUGUAUUUGAAAUAUAUAAAGCAUACUUGUAUAUGUCUUAAAAUUAUGAAAUAUAGACAAAUAAAACACAAGUUUAAAUCAAAUAAAUAUACAUACAAAUUAACUAAUAAAAUUAAUUGUACAAUAAUACAAUACUGGAGUUGUGUAAUUUUAAAUUUAAAUUUUCAAAAUUGGAUUAAUAAAUUUUUCAAAAUUUGAAUUUGAAUUUGGUUAAAUUAUUUAAAGGGAAGUGAGAGAUUUUAGGAGAUAGAUUAGUGGGUGUGAUAAGAGAGAGAGUAGGUGGUUUUGAGUUGUAUAAAAGAAGAAAGAGAAACUUACACGUUUUGAUACAAAACACGCACUGUAUAAUUAUUUUAUUUAACUAUAACCGUUUUUUAUAAUUAAGUUAAACUAUAGUUAUGAAGCAUAAUUAACUAUCAUAUAUUAGCUUUAGUUAUGUAAUUUUCCCUAAAAAAAAUAUCAAGCCCCUCUUCUACUUCUAAAACACCAAAUAUUUCGAAGGCCUUUGCUCAUGAAAGAAUAAUCAUUUUAUUUGAAAAUUUGAAAGUUAAAAUUGUGUUUUACCAUAUAUUUUUUUUUGCACUAAAUAAAUAUAUAGAAUUUGCAGAUAUUUAAACUAAUUAACAAAACUAACUUCAACUACUGCACUAAGCACGUAGCCCACUCUCAUCACUUCCCAUCCACCAUUUGCACGUCACACACACAUGCACACAACCUAUCGUUUUUUGUUUUUGUUUUUUUUUAAAAAAAGAGAGUUAAUUAUCAUUAUAUUAAAAAAUAAUAAUUAAUCUUUGAAUUGAAAACUGAAAUUGGUUAAAUUAAUUAAUUUCUUCAUUUGAAUUGAGAUUUAAAAAAAAAAAAUACUAUUACAGUUAUUAUUAUUUUUUACAAUUGAGAGCCGUUUAAAUUAUUUAUUUUAAUUGAGAUUUUUUUUGGUGUGGCUGCAAGUAUUUUCUGGAUUAGUGUUGCUACAAUUAUUUUUUUAAAAUUCGAAUUUAAUCUAAAAACACAUAUUUAAAUGGUGAAAUAAAAUAUUUCGAAAAGUCUAACCGUAAAUUUUAUAUUGAAAUGAUUUAAUUUUUUUUAAUAAUAACAGAAAGAUAAGGAUUUGAAAUUUAAAUUUAAUACUUUUAAUUUUAAAGAUGGUUACAACUUUUUCACUAUAUAAUAACAGUAAGAGUUCAAGUUUUUUCUAUUACAAUUUUAGAGAAAGCUUUGUGCACAAGUAUUUGCUAAAUCAUGUUAGAAUAUCACCAUGCAUAUCGAUGUUGACUUGGAAUAAUUGACAAGUUCACGAUUAAUUAUUCAGAACUCUUAACUAAUAAACUAAAUUGGUGGUCUCUUUCCGGUAAGAAGUAAAAUUUUAUUUCUAUUACCUAAUUAACAUUAAUCCACAAGUAUCUAAUCACCUAAUCAACAAGAUAACAAUAAUUAAUCAAAUGAAAUUCCACAAAGUGGAGUUUGAAGAAGAAGAGUGACUCUUAUUUUACCACUCUCUCUUCAAGGUAAAGAGUAUACUUACGAAAGAUCUUCAACUCAAACAAAUCAAAGCAGUGAUCAAAAGAAAAACAUGACAACUAAUAGCAAAAUGAUGUGGAGCAUAUAUGCCAAAAAAAAACUGUAACAUUAACAAGAAGGUGCAGUCACCUAAACACAAUAAGCCACAUAUGAUAAUCAAAAACUCAAAACUAAAGACUACAUGAAUAUGUUUUUUACUACGAUCGACAACAGCUCAACCCAACCAAAGACUGGAAUAAAGCUAACCUUCUACCCUUACCCACAACCUCCGUACUCUCGUAUCUAAGGUUAUGCAUGUCCUAGAUAAGCUACAAUGCGUCAUAUCCUGCCUAAUCACUUAUCUCCAAUACUUCUUCCGCCUAUCACUGCCUCUCCCCGAACCCACUAUAUCAAGCCUCUUGCACCUCCCUAUUGGGGCAUCUACACAUCCCUCUUCACAUGCCCAGACCAUCUCAAUCUCCCUUCCCACACCAUAUAGACCAUUCUGAUUUCGUCUGGAAAGUCCUCAUCCUAUCGCUCCUAGUAUGCACUAUGCCCAUACAACCAUCUCAACAUCCUCAUUUUCCCACUUACAUCUUCUGAACCUGAAAGUUCUUGACUAGCCAAUACUUCGCCCCAUACGACAAAACCGAUCUAACCACUACUCUAUAAAAAUAUACCUUUAAACUUUGGUGAUACCUUCUUGUCACACAAAACCCAUAUGCAAGCCUCCCUUUCAUCCAUGCCGCAAUCUGAUUGACUAAUAAACAUUAAAAAACAAUUAUUAUUUUUUUUAAAAAAAAAUCAAAAAAAUUGAUAGUUUGAAAAAUAUAAAUGAGGUUAUAUACAAUUUUUGUUUGUCCAUCACUUAGGUCCAUGAUCUAUCACAAAUAACCACCACAACAAAACAAAAAUUAGAAAGAACAAGUCCAAGGCAGAGCAAUGGCGCAUAUAGCAGCAAUGGGCGUUUCCCAAAUUUCCUCUUCAAUAUACAUGCCGGAACUUCCACUCAAGUCUCAAAAUCUACAGCCCUCGUCCGUUUUCCUCAAGAGAUUCAGCGUAGCUCAUAAAAGAUUCAAUCUUGUUAAAGCUACCGUUGAUGGGUCUCCAUCCCCAGGUCUUUAUUCUGCUAAACAAUUCGAGCUCACCCCUGAAAACGUCGAUAUGGUUCUUGAAGAUGUUCGACCUUAUCUCAUUUCUGAUGGCGGAAACGUAGAGGUCGUUUCUGUGGAAGACGGUGUCGUUUCCCUCCAGCUUCAAGGUUAGUUUUUGUUUAUCCAAUUCGCUUGAUUUGUUGCUAGCACUUCAAUAUUACUCCAUUAGUCAUUAUUCAAUUGAGGGAUUACUUGUAGCAGGUAUCAAGUUGUUGUCUUUCUGAGUUAGUUUGAACUUUUGUUCUUGUAGAUGAAAUGCUUGUAUUGCCACAAAAAUUAACUCUUUACUCAAGGUUUGAGUUGGACCUCUACAGUUAUGGAUAUCUAUCACUAACCCAUCCAUCUUUCCUCAUGAAAAUUUGGUACUUGCACUCCUUUAGACAAGAAAUUUAACAAUCUUAUCAUUUCUGAUCACCUUGUACUCUAGGGAAGCUAUUUCCGAGUCUAUGUAAAUUGUUAGAAAUUCUUUGCUUUUGCAAGUCUGCAGCAUAAUAGAGCCAUGCCAAUGAAUUUUUUUGUUUUUGGUGGUGUCUGCAUUUGUGUUUUUAUUCUGGACUUAAUUGGAUGUGAAGAUGGAAUGUUAGAAUGAGGCAAAAGGAACAUAUCUCUGAGAAGUGAGAAGUUAUUUGAUUCUAUCCAUCAGAGGUUCUCACAGAGUUAACUAUAGGACUUAGUUACCAUUGUACUUUAUGUUUAGAUGAUGCUGAUGAUAGAUUAUGAUGUUAGUACAGGACAAGGCUCGGAAAUCUGGCAAAGAUGCUUCUAGUCUAAACUCUAAAGCAUGUAGUUAUGUGCUAUGCUAUCUAGUUUUUUUUUGAUAAGGUAAGAUUUUAUUAAAACAGUAUCAAGCUGAUACUGCGAAAGUAGUGAGAAAAUGCUGGCUUGAUUACAUUAAGAUCCUAAGCAGUCUAGUAUGUCCAUCAUGUUAUCUGAAUUCAUAAUAACAUCUCCAUCUUUCCAACAGUACAAGUGGUGCAAACAACUAUAUUUAACAGACUGUACUGCUCCCUUUUGCGUUCAAAACAUCUCUUAUUUCUUUGAUUCUUUCUUUCCAUAUAGUCCAAGCUAUGCUAAGAGGAAUAGCUCACCAAAUCUUCUUAAGGGAUGCUACUGGACAUGCAGUUUCCCAGCACUCUUAACACAUUCUUGAACUUCAUAGGACUUGUCCAAUGGAUGCCAAAGUUAGCUAGAACAUGGUCCACACUUGCCGAAUAAAUUCACAACACACAAGAAUAUGAUCCACAAAUCACAAGCUUUCUCACACAAGUAGCAUCUGCACAUUAUCGAACCCCUUCUCUCCAAAUUUUCUUGAGCUAGACAUGCCUCACGAGAUACUAGCUAACCCAAAGAAAGAACAACUUAUGUUGGGACUGUAGUCUUCCAGAUCAUCUUCCAAGGCUAUUUUAGUACUUGCACUGGCUAAAUAGCAUAAAGUAUUUUAUAGAAUGAGCUGACAGUAAAAGAACGUUCACAUUGCCGGUCCCAAGCCCAAAUAAAGGAGGGGGGUUGCUGAGGCCUGAGGGUCAAUCAGAAAUAGUCUCUCUACCCCAUAAAGACUGGGAUAAGGCUGUGUACAUCUGACCCCUCUCCAGACCCCACUUGUGGAGUUACACGGGUUUGUUAUUGUUGUUGAGCUGACAUUGAAAGAACCCUUUUUGCUAGCUUCCCAAAUUAGCCUAUUUUUACUUUCUAGAAUUAAGAUUUCUUUGCUUCUUCUGAAUAAAGAAAUCAACUUCUUCCAUUUUUUUGGCAAAGAGAUUCCUUCUGAGCUGGAAGGUCCACCCUCAAGUGCAGUGCUUGUUCUCUUUCAGCCUCACACGUCAACAAGGUAUCAUCAGCACAAAGACAAUGAGAACUUUCUGUAGAAUUUCCCGAAUGACCUGCCAUUUUAAAGCCUUUUAUCCAGCCACUUCUCACAGCAGUUUUAAUCAUCUGACUCAACCUCCAUUACUAAAAGAAAUAAGUGGGGAGAUAGUGGGUGACCUUGCCGUUGGCCUCUUUGAGAAUUCGACUAACCACUGGUACCUAGUAUCUUGAUGGGAGAUUGCGAUCAACAGUGCACAAUGGGUCCAUUGAGGGUAGUUUAGUGAAUUAUGUUCUCCCUGCCAGGGUUGUGAGGGGCUUACUAAGUUAUAAGUUGAAAAUUUUAGGAGGAUGGUGUAAUGCAUAAAUAUAUGAUGCCACAUCUCCUAGUAAACAACAAAGUAUAAGCUCUGGAAGGCUAUGGUCCCCACUCCAUUCUUGAAUGUACGCGAACAACUUCAAUGAUAUGGGGAUGCAUACAUGCAGCAACAAUUGGAGAAAAGCGUACUUGUAUCCUGAUUCUAUAGUCUUGGUUUUGAGUAAGCACUGGAUUAGAGUUGACAUUAUGUGUGCUGCAGAGAGAUGAACCCAAGAAACUAGUGUCGAAGUUCCUAUUUACGAAGUUUGAGAUUUAAUAAACUAAAAGCAAAUCUCAUAUGAAUUUUUGACUUAGUAUAUACUACUGCCUCCCUUCCACUUUGUUUGGCACUAUUUCGUUAUUCGUUUGUUCAGAAAAGAAUGCCACAUUUGACAUUCCUAUAUUUUCUUAAUGAGAAGAUUUUAUAAUAACAAAAUUGUUAUGGCAAGUGCUUAAGACAACAAAUUUCAGAAGUUCUAUAGCCACACAAAUAUUAUAGCACACUUAAGAUCACAAAGUUUGAUAGUCUUUCUCUCUUUACUAAACUUUGUGAUGUCAAACUAUGACAUACAAAGUGAAACGGGGCGUGGGAUGGGGUGAGUAACAAUUUCAAAGGGGUGGGGGGGGACUGCAGUUGGAUGCACCAAACUAUGUUGUAUGGCAAUUGCUACUUGCUCCUUCGAUUUGAUUUAGUUUAUUUUCUGUAAAAUACUUACUAAUAGAUUAGAAAAUGUUGUUUUUCCCUCAAUAGGGAAUUAAAUGAGUCUCCGAGCUUAACAGUUCCAAGCCAGCCUAAGCUUGCAGAAUAUGUUUGCCAAAUAAGGUAAGCCAAAUGGAGUUCAUGAAUAAUGGACAUUUAUUGAUUAAUGUUCAUUGAAUUUUUUUGUAAUAAUUAAUUUUCAGAUAUUUAUACUGGUUAACAACCAAUUCUUCUCUCUUAUUUCUGUUGAACACUUCCAAAACCUACACAUGCUUUAGUAGCCCCUAAACAAGGUAAACAUAAUAGGAUAGAGAUCUUUAUUUCCUCAUGCCUCUUGAUACCUUUCUAUCUUCCAGUAUACUUCACUGGAGUGGCUAAGCAGAACUUGCUUAGCGUAAAGCUAAAAUAUUUAAUUAAGAUAAGCUUGCAACAUUUGUUUAAAAAUCAGGUUUCUGUUUUUCUUUCUUGUGUUUAGGGUGUAUUUUUCUCGGAGUGUAGAAUAUAGUUUCUAUUUUUAUUGAGACAUUAUUAGUAAAUACUUCCCUCUCUCCCUCAUAAAAAAAGAUUUCCCCCCCAAGUGCCAUUAUAAAGAAAGUUAGGCCCGCAAUGUGGGGGUUAAAUAAAUGUGUCCUCUCUCACAGUUUAAACUUUUCAACGGUUGGGGUGGUUUAAAAUUCUACAAUUUCAAUUUUCCUAUGUUUGGCAGAACCCAAAGAGAGGAAUAUUAUAACAAAGGGUAAUAUUCAAAAACUCAGCAAAAUACCAAAAGUACAGAAGAAGGUUAAAACACAACAUUUAAUUUAAAAUAGAAGAAAAAGAUAGAGUACAAAUUUCGUAGCAAAUCAUGAAAUCAUUAUUCAUGGCUCUGACUUAAAAACCAUAUACAUGUAAAUACCAAAGAAAAAUAUCAGAGGAGGGAGGAGUAACUGGAAAUAAUAAAAUGUAUAGGGAGAGAGGAUCAGAUGAUUCAUUACAUACCAAUCAGGAUUUAUCCUGUCAAUAGAUUUGAAUCCGGAAUUCAAUUGUUAGCUUACUUCAUGUGAAUGAUCAAUAGUUGUUUCAUGGAGUGAGGAGUGAGGUGCCAUUUGGUGUGUCCUGCUAGAGUUAGAGGGUAAUGGUGGGCCCUUUGGAACAUGUCUUGAGCAACAUAACUGUUCAACAAAAUCUCAAAAAGAAGAAAUGGUUGUCAACUGCCAUGAUAUUUCUCCUUAAAUGUGCUAACGAGUUUGCUUAAGAAAUUUCUGAUACAUUUAUGGUGACGUUUGGAUUCAUAAAUGCUUAAUAUUUUGUAUGCAAUGGAUAUAGGAGCGUGCGAGAGUUGUCCUAGCGCAACAACUACAAUGAAGAUGGGGAUUGAAAAGGUACUCAAAGAAAAGUUUGGAGAAGCCAUCAAGGAUAUUCGCCAAGUAUACAAUGAACAAGUAGUUGAAACCACUGCUGAGGUGAAUAUUUGCAAAUUCUGUUGCUUAUAGAUGAUAUUGCAUUCAAAAUGUCUAACUAAGAACUCAUGUUCCUGCAGGCUGUGAAUGCUCACCUCGAUAUAUUAAGACCUGCCAUUAAAAAUUUUGGUGGUAGUGUGGAAGUUUUAUCAGUUGAGGAAGGCAAUUGCAAUGUGAAGUAUGUAGGGCCUGAGUCUAUUGGAUCAGGAGUCAAAGCAGCAAUCAAAGAGAAGUUCCCCGAUAUUGUCAAUGUUGUGUUCACUGACUAGCUUGCUUCGCGACAGUAUUUUGAGAAGUUCUUCUUUUGAACAUACUGUGAAGUUUAAUGCCAAUACUAUCGUCUGUUAUGUAGGAGAGAUGUAUAAUCCCAACCAUUUCGAGCAAACUUACAGUACAUGUUCACUAUGUAAAGAAACAACAGUAUGGAUGAAGUGGCCAAGUUUCUUCCCACCUCCACUAUUAUGUAUUGAUCAUGAGGAGAUUAUGAAAAAGAAGUAUUUUUUACAAUUCAAUUAUGCUGUUCGCAUUUAUAAUGUAGGUCAUUGUUGCAAAUCAAUUGUGCAGAACAUCUGAAUUUUCUCUCUAACUUGAUCUGGUCUCCUUUUAAAACAUGCACAAACAACGUUGAAAAACUCAUCUUACUUCAUCAAAUUAGGGCCAGGAAAUAAUAUGGAAGUAAAGAUAUCAGGCUUGUAAGAGUUGUGUUGUUGUCUAUUAGUUUGAGUUGAUUAUCGGCCUCAAUUAUAUGAAAUGCUUUAAAAGUAUGUAAUUAAAUUUUUUCCUCAUGUCCUGUAGUUUGCGAUGUUACCAAGCAAGAAGAAGAUUAGAUAUGAAGAGGUGCUUAUCAGAAAAGGUCACAACCAUUCAGAAAAGUCGCAACCAUUGGCACCUUUUAAAACCCAACGAAAUUUGAUGUGCCGUGUUGUACGAGAUUGAAGCAGACAAAGGUUGAAAACAGAUAUGGAGAAAAAAGGUACUGAUGGAGGGAAUGAAGAGACCAACAAACAAAUAGCAGAAUUAAAGGAUAAACUGUCCCUGAUUAAUUCGAGGAAGGAGGCUAAGGAACGCGAAGUUGAUGAUUUAAAGGAGAAGCUUAAGGACAUUCAAGAAGAGAUGAAGAAGAUACGUUCGAGUCUUUCUAAAUAAACCUCUGUAACUGCUCCCAGUAUGUCAAACAUUGAUGGUAUCUCUUCAAGUAUAGGUUGCUGCUAUUUCAUGAUUAAUGAUAUGUAAUAGUAAUAACUAGUAGUAUAAUCUGAAUCCGUUUCCAGUUUUUUUAUCUUCUGUUUUGUUUAAGAUUUUCGUCUACAUGCAUCAUGUUCUAAUUACAGGGUGUGUUAAAAUUUUCUCAUGUUUUUAAAUUUUUAUUAUUCUCUGUUUUCAGCGUACCCUUCAUUAAGAUUGUCAUUUGUUGAAAUAUUAGGAGAUGACAUCUCAAAUGGUGACUAAAUAACUUAGAAAGACACUGUGAUUAAAGCUUUGUUUCUCUUUUUGUAUACGUUAACCAUGUUAAUUACCCGCUCUUCGUACGGUCAUAGAUAAUGAUAUCGUAAUAAUACUUUGAUAAUAUCCAAAUAUAUAAUAAAAUAACUUAAAGUUCAUUUAUUGUAAAAAGUAAAAGUGAAGAUAAUAUCAUCCAACAAAAAUGAAGAGAUUUUCAAUAGUGUCACGUACCCAUUAAACAAGUAAUUUACGUUAGAGCUUUAAAAAAGGUAUUUUUUAUUUGAUAGUCACAAUUAAACCUUCACUAAUUUUAUAAAAAAAAUGUUUAAACUUUUAAAGUAUGGGUUGGUAGGAUCCACUUCAUACCAAUAAUAUCACUUUAUAUAUAGAUUACAAAGAAACAAAAUUACUAAAUUUAACUUAAUAAAAUUCUUAACAUAUAGAAAGCAUUAUCAUCUAAUAAUUCAAAAUUACUUCAUCUGGAAAAAAAUUAAAGAUAUGUCAAUGGAGAUUAAUAUCAUGAAGCUUAGCCUCAAUUUAAUCAGUAAGAUAACUAAGCUAAAGCUGUAUUUUAUUCUCUUAGAUAUAUUCUCUUUCAGUUUGCAUGCUGACUCCAUACAAUGUAUAGAUCAUCUCCAUUCAGGAGCAUAUGGUAACCUGUAGAACAAAUGAAAUAAAACACAAAACACAACUAAUAUCCAUGUCCCUGGACAUUUGAGUGCAUAAAUUAAUACAUUUAUGUAACUACACUACUAUGUAGUUUUACAUCCAUCAGAUACAAGAACCAUAUCUAUAUAUGAAAAGAAGAUAAUCCGGAAACAGAAGCAGCAGCAUCAAAUAUAUUAUGAUUCGCAAUCACUACACUUUCCGUUUCAGCUUCUAUGCAGUGUCAACUCAUAUCAGUCCAUCCUGGUAAGCAAUUUAAACGCGACUAAAGCACAACUACUUUGAUGUGUUAAUACAGAAACAGCCAACAACGGCUCAAUAAUUUAGUGACAUGCCAAAGAGACACGGUAGAAAGGUGAGGUUAACAUGCUAAUCACAACUAUAAGAUACAGAUGUAUAUACAGACUGCGGGGACUGUACUCUGAUGAAAAGGAGGACCUGAUCUCCAUAGAAAGGCAUUAGAGGGGCAUCUAACAUUUUUGUGCCACACAAAUGAGACAGCCACAUUUGAAAUUUUGAAAGGCUGGAUCAUGUUUCAUGCUGGAGCAAAUUCAAAAAGGCGCAGAACACAUGACAAAGAAGUUGAUUCAAGCAGCUUAUUAUACAGCUCCUUGUAGCUUUAGUCCUGAGUACACAGCAGAGGAAAGACAGGUGUAGAUGAGAUCAAGAAAAUUUACUACUAAACAAGCAAAAGAUUUAAGCUAUUUGGUACUAUCCUAUGGCUAAAUUUUCAAGCACUACUCCAAAUAAAGGAAGGCGUUGAGAUGGACAAUGCACUAACCCUCCAAUUCAUCCAUCUGAAGUUUUUAACUUGCGAGGCCGUUUUGACUGUGCUGGUGAAGAUGGAACUUCUGAUAAUCGUCCAGGCCCCUGGAUCCCCAAAUCAACAUAGUAGACUCUUAGAACUGUUUGGAUUAAUUUGAAGAUUCAUUAAAAAUAUUAACGACACAUACCUUGCGUUUCUGGUCCUUUUUACCAGCUCUUUCCCCUAUAGAACAUGAAAAUUAUUGGCACAAAAAGAUGAUGUUUGAGUUUGAAAGACAGAGAGAACAGUUUGAUCAUAAUGGAGUACACCUUUAACAGACAGCCCAAGUACUUCUGUCAUUUGCUUACCUCCAAAACUUGUAGAAUCGGGAAUGAAUGUUCUAUCUUGGUCCGUAGCACGUUGCGCACGCUGUCAACAAGCAGAUAUCAACUCCAUUACUCACAAACAAAAAGAUAUAUCUUUAUCUAAUUCAUCUCGCAGAACACCAAAAACUACUUAAAACAAAUAUAGUUUUUUAGAAAAAGGAAAGAGGUUGGUUACAGAGUUAUAAGCAGCAUCCUCACCUUAGGAGGUGUACCAGGUGUUUCAGAAUAUGAACCUUCCCGAUAAGAUGAGCCUUCUGCCUCUUUGUAUUGUACCUGAUUUUCAAGACAAGCAUUAACAAAAUUGGGUCAUUGGCCUCUUCUGAUAAGAUAGAAGUGAAAACUGUCGUCAUUGAAGCUCUAACCUUGCAAAUGAAGCAUCUCCAAACACAUAUGAAAACAAUACAUACACAGAAGGGGGGAGAUGGUUUUGAACCAAAAUGUGUGUGUCUGUGUGUGUGUGAGAGAGAGAGAGAGAGAUGAAAAUGGAAGUCCAUCUAAUCAGAAAUGAUGGAAAAUAAUAUACUGAAAAAGCAUAGGAGACAAAUUGGUCAGAUAAACCUCAAACUCUUUUUGGGAUAUCUGACAUAUUUGUGUCAAAUAUCCCUUUUUUAUUUGCCUUGGUGAUGGAUAGAUUAAUAUGAAAAAUUCAAGGUGCGGUGCCAUGGUGUAGGUUAUUUAGGAUAACAUAGUUCUCAUUGUCGAGACUCGCGGCAGAGUUAAUGCUAAGUUGGAGGUUUGGAGACAAACCUUAAGAGUCUAAAAAGUUCAGGUUGAGCACAACCAAGACAAAGCAUUUGAGUGCAAGUUCAGUCACGUAAUGCAUGAAGCUAACGUGAAAGUGAGACUUGAUACACAAAUCAUCCAAAAGAGAGGAAAUUUAAAGUAUCUUGAGUUUAUUAUCCAAGGAAAUGGAAUUGACGAGGAUGUUAUUCACCGUAUUGGUGAAGGGUGGAUGAAGUGGCUAACAUCUAAAGUCUUGUGUGAUACGAAGUUGCCACUAGUUCUACAGAGUGUUAUUUAGAUCAACUAUGUUGUAUGGAGCGGAGUGUUGGCCAAUCAAGAACUCUCACAUUCAGAAGAUGAAAGUUGUGGAAAUGACAAUGUUGCGAUGGAUGUGUGGGGAUACUAAGAGAUAUACGAUUAAGAAUAAGGAUAUCCGAGAUAAGGUAGGAGUGUCUUCAGUAGAUGACAAGAUGCAGGAAGAAAGACUAAGAUGGUUUGGGCAUGUGAAGAGGAGAUGCACAAAUUCCCCAGUGUAGAGGUGUGUGAGAAGUAGGGUAUGAAUGACUUCAGGAGAGGUAGAGUUAGACUGAAGAAGUAUUGGGAAGAGGUGAUUAGACAAGACGUGAUACAGUUUCAGCUUACCGAGGACAUGACUUUAGAUAAGAGGGAGUAGAGGCCACGUAUUAGGGUAAAAUAGUAGUAGGUAUCAAUGCAUUGUCUUUUUUUUUUUUUAAGUUGGUAACUCAAUGCAUUGUCUUCCUGUCUGUUCAUAUUAGUAGUCAUAGUAUUACUAAUUUCUGUUACUAUCUGUUGAUUCCUUGUACCUCGAUUAUCAUAUUGUUUCAUUGUAGUUUUGUUUUAGUUAUUAUCUGAUGUUUCUCAUCAUUUUGUUACUUCUUUUUCUAGAUUGAUUUGGCUUGUUUUUCCUAGAGCCGAGGGUCUAUCGAAAACAACCUUUCUACCUCUGAGAUAGGGGUAAGGUUUGUGUACUUUACCCUCACCAAACUCCAAUUUGUGAGACUACAAUGGGUAUAUUUUUGUUGUUGACAUAUACUUGUGUUUCUUUCUCCUAGAUAGUUUACUUCUUUGCAGCAAAUUAAUUGAAAUUGAAUGGUUUCCAAUUGCUGCUAAGUAAUUGUUUGAUAGCUAGUUGAGGAUAGGUUUUAGACUUGUUAAAGAACUUCUAUUAUUAUUAUUGUUAUUAUUAUUAUUAUUAUUACAAUAUAUUUAACUUAUUUUUCAAAUUAAUUUUAUUUAGUAUGAUGAUAAUAUGAAUUGAGCUUGAAUGAAAGUGAGAAUUCAUAAAGCCGAUCUCAACUUGUUUGGGAUUGAGAUGUGUUGUUGUUAAUCAUUUGAUAUAUGCGGCAAAUUAUUCUGUGUGAGCAACUGAGCACCCAGAAUUCCAAGACUCAGCCGAUCUUCCCUUGAGCACACAACUCCAGGGUUUGCCUGUACUAGACAAUGAUAUUUAACGAGAGAUGCUUCAUUAUGAAACAAAACAUAAGGCAACACAAAGAAGACAUUUUUUUUAAUGAUAUUCAAACAGUCGUAAAAUGUUAUCUCAAAAUGUUCUUUAGUCUGAACUCUAUAGCCAAACCUAACUCGUGAUCAAAAAAAUUGUUGAAAGCAUACACUAAUAAAAUAAAAUGCCAAAUACCUGCUUUUGAAGAUUUAACAGGGUUAGUAUCUCUUUCCUCAGUUCAAGAUGCUCUGCACAGACAAGUUUUGUUGGGACCUUUGGCUUCAAAUUAACCUACAGAUGGGAAAAGAACAUAGCUUCCCAGUCAAAUUAGUGGGGAAAUAUUUAUCAUUCUAUAAGGCACUAAGGCAGUUAAACCAGGAGGGACAAGAAAGAAAAGAAAAAUGCUUAGGAACAUCAAAAUUGGUGGGAGAAAAUGUAGAACUUUUGCCACACGUAAAAUUGUAAUCUGACAGAACAAGUCUGGAUAAUCAGAUAACUGAGAUUUCACGAUGUAAUAGAACUUGAUCCACAUGUAAAAUGGCACCCCAACAACACAAGUCCUGAUCAUUAGACAGCUGAGAUUGCACCUCUGAUGAUGUGUUAAAAAUCUGGGCCAGGAUAAACUCCACAGUGGUUCCAAA